rnacentral:rRNA from 1 species
AGCGAACGCUGGCGGCAGGCCUAACACCUGCAAGUCGAACGAACUCUUCGGAGUUAGUGGCGGACGGGUGAGUAACACGUGGGAACGUGCCUUUCGGUUCGGAAUAACUCAGGGCAACUUGUGCUAAUACCGCAUGUCCCCUUAGGGGGCAAGAUUUAUCGCCUUUCGAGCGGCCCGAGUCGGGUUAGCUUGUUUGUGGGGUAAUGGCCCACCAAGUCUACGAUCAGUAGCUGGUGCUAGGAGGAUGACCAGCCACAUUGGUACUGAGACACGGCCCAAACUCCUACGGGAGGCAGCAUUGGGGAAUCAUGCGCAAUGUGCGAAAGCCUGACUCAGCCAUGCCGAGUGGAUGAUGAAGGUCUUAGGAUUGUAAAAUCCUUUCACCGGUGAAGAUAAUGACUGUAGCCGGAGAAGAAGCCCCGGCUAACUUUGUGCCAGCCGCCGCGGUAAUAC